rnacentral:rRNA from 1 species
UUCUUCUCUCUGAUUCAAGUAGAAAUACAAAUGGAAAAAAUCAAAGGGUAUUUAGAAAAACAAAAAUCUCGGCACCAAUACUUUGUCUACCCACUUCUCUUUCAGAAAUAUAUUUAUGCAUUUGCCCACGAUUAUGGAUUAAAUCGUUCUGAACCUGUGGAAAUAGUUGUUAGUUGUAAUAACAAGAAAUUUAGUUCAAUACUUGUGAAACGUUUAAUUAUUCGAAUGUAUCAGCAGAAUUUUUUGGAUAACCUCGGUUAA